UGCCCUGUAGCUCUCGAGUCUCAACUUCAGCACCCACCCCCUUCCUCUCUCUUGAGCUAGCUCUCUCUUGCUUCCAUGAUUUGCCAUGGUGUUAUAAAGCCCCUCCCCUCUCCUAGCUAGCCAUCUACUGCCCUACUAGCUCACAUAGCUGCCAUGCACAUGGAAACUCCAUCUGCACAGCUAGAAUAGGAAAGCAAUUCCAGUCAUCAUGGAUCGAUGCAAGUGAUUAGCUAGCUAGAGAUCCAAAUUAAGCUUUCAGGAAGCUAGUGGAGGAUUCCAAAGGGAUCGCAUUGAUCCAUCUCUCCGUAACCGGCGCUCAAGAUCGAUGGAUCAGUGCAAUCCCUCUGGAAUUCUCCGCUUGCCUCCGCCUCCGGCCGUCCAUCUCUUCCGUCCGACCUGGCCAUGCCAGGAGGUAAUUAAACAGAGAUGGAUCAUCCACAAGAAUCACAAGGUAGUCCAGGACCCAGGUGUGUGAAUGCAUACAACCAAAGCUAGCUAGGAAUGG